UUUUUUUUUUUUUUUUUUUUAAUAUCUCAAAGCUAGAACACAUUUUUGUGCUUUAGUUUGGUCCGAUGGUGUUUGAAUUCUGCCUUUGGGGAUUUUUGACGGAAGCAUAACAAAGAUGAUAAUGGGCGGAAAUGAGACAAUUAACCAAGGUUCGCACUGGGUUACUUAUGAAACGGCUUUUCCCACAUUUGAGAAUUGUAGAAAAGAAGCAAAUUCUUAUUUUGGAAUGGAACCGACACAAGUGAAGCUUCUAAAGCAGGAAAAAGUUGCAUGCUUAGAUGAUAAUGAUGCCCGACUUACUCUAGAUCCACAUAAUAGGUACAGGAUACAGACCAAAACCUCAUAGCCAUGGUGAUGUGCAUUCCCUACUAUAUUCCAGUGGCCUCCUAAAUUAUUGGAAUUGCAGAAUUAUGAAACGUUUGAGCCAAACAAUUACCAUUUAUGGGACUGAUGCAUUUCAUUACUAUUAUGGAGAACAAACACCAUGAAGGAGCUUGAAGAUUUGGAAUUUCUGAUAUGUAGAAGAGAUCAGAGAAGAUGACCAUAAAGAUGUUCUAUAAAUAUGCAACUAUACAAGUGACAUGUAAAAAAAUACAUGACAACAAACAAUUGGAAUUGUGUUUUGAUAUUUAUAACACUGCAUAUAGUUGUGUUUUAUUUUGAAUUUGUGUAUGUAAAGAGUUUUAUAUUUAUUAAUGAAAAUGAACAAGUUUUG